AGAGGUUUCCAUACCCUUAUAAGGAAUGCUUCAUUCCCCUCUCCAACCGAUGUGGAAUCUCACACUAUUCGUGGAUCAUACUUUUUUGUAAUCAUGUGGAAUCUCACACUAUUCGGGAGUAUGCAAAGUAGUGUGGAGUAUUGAAGCUGAUUUAGAAGCUGCUCAGCUUCUUUACCUUACUGCUGGGGAUCCUGUCGCCCUUAGGCUUCUGGGAACCAAAUAUGGCUAUGCAAAUGUCUCCUAUGGAACAUGCUAACUUAUGGAUGGCUGAGGAUGACACAAGCCGCAGAGUGUGUUGUAGGUUGUGAGUUUUUUUUUUUUUUUCUCUUGGAUUCAAUUUAAGAUCAUGUAUAUGCUUCGUUUCGUGUCACGAUCAUGCUUGUCCAAGGCAUGUCGCUCAUGGCCGCAUGCCCGUGACACGCCAAAACCUUUGCCUUGUACUACUUUUCCUCGCUUUCUAAAAUCUUUUUUUGAAAUCGAGACCCGAGGUUUGUAUUCA